AGUUUGAUCAGUGGCUCGAGGACGAACGCUGGCGGCGUGCCUAACACAUGACAAGUCGAGCGGAGACGAGGGAGUAGCUUGCUAUGAGCUGUUUAGCGGCGGACGGGUGAGUAACGCGUGAGCAACCUUUCCCAGACAGGGGAAUAACACACCGAAAGGUGUACUAAUACCGCAUAAGACCACGGGAUCACAUGGUUCUGAGGUAAAAGAUUUAUCGGUUUGGGGUGGGCUCGCGUCCGAUUAGGUAGUUGGUGAGGUAACGGCCCACCAAGCCGACGAUCGGUAGCCGACCUGAGAGGGUGAUCGGCCACAUUGGGACUGAGACACGGCCCAAACUCCUACGGGAGGCAGCA
rnacentral:rRNA from 1 species